rnacentral:rRNA from 1 species
CCCCUAGAUGUUCUGGGCCGCACGCGCGCUACACUGAACAGUUCAACAAGUCUUAACCUUGGCCGAUAGGUCUGGGUAAUCUUUGAACGCUGUUCGUGAUUGGGAUAGACCUUUGCAAUUAUGGGUCUUCAACGAGAAAUUCCUAGUAAACGCAAGUCAUCAGCUUGCAUUGAUUACGUCCCUGCCCUUUGUACACACCGCCCGUCGCACCUACCGAUUGAAUGGUCCGGUGAAAUCUCGGGACGGCGGCUUGGUCGCUUGCGUCCGACUGCUGAAACUUGAUUAAACCAUAUCAUUUAGAGGAAGGUGAANUCGUANCA